AUCAGGGCAUAGGAAAUCAUUAAAAGGGCUCAGAUACCACUCGAUGGAAAGAACUCAAUUAGUACCAAACCUCUGUGCAGCAGCACUGGGUGCUGGAAGACCAUGUAACAAUGACUUUAACCCUUGAGUUCUCUAUCCGGUAAAACCACCAACUGAUAACAGGAGAAAGUGAAAAGAGAAUAGAGAGAGAGAUUAGCAUGAAAUAUUCUCAGUUAAAAGGAUUAUUUGCAGACAGAGGAAAACAUCCUUAUCUAUAGCUCCAAUCCUCAUCUCUUCAGAAACUGCUCCUGAAAAAGGCCUGAAAAUAACGUAGACAAAGCCAAUGGAAAACAACAACGGACCUAAUUCAAAUGAGUAAUUCACCCUUUGGAUUUGGGUUGGAGAUAUCUGAAGUGAGUCAGAACUGAACAGAAGUCACUAUUUAGGACAUAUUUUCCCCAGAGUGUGAAACAGGAUUAGGAAAUCCUGAAUCAAUCCAAGUAACUGCAUGGAAAGCUUCAGCGUGGAUGUGGUGUAGGAGUAGCUUCCGGGAAUAGUCCUGCAGCCCACUGUGCUAACUGACCUGGCCUUGUGACAUGAAAGUGUGAGGCCAGGGGUUUUCCCUUCUCAAGGUGGGGAGAUUCUUUUGGCUGCAGUUCCCACACAUGCUCCAGAAGGAUACAGGGAGAAUAAGGAGCGAAAACAAGCAUUUGAUACCAGCAGAAACCAACAAUAAGGGAGUGCAGCAAGGAAGCUGGUGCCAGAUCCGAGAUCCCUCCUCUCGUCCCACCUCACUUGUGCUUUCUGCUCUCAUGAAGUCAUCACUGGGAAGCCAACACUGGCAGCAGGAGAGGAUAUCCUGAGAUCUGGCCUGCAGUCUGACAAUACCUUUUUGGCACAUGCUCGCAAGUAUCUAUUUGCAAGUAAGAGCAAACCUACUUAAAAGAUGGUUCUUAGAAUUAAAAGCACUCCCAUCCCCAGCUGCAACAACAAAAACGUCUUCAGACAUUGUCAGUGUCUCCUGGGGAGCCCCUGGUUGAGAACAACUAUUCUAGACCAAGAUUUUCUGAAGGACCCCAAACAUCGUACGAUUGACCGGUUCUCAUAUUGAGUGUACAUCAACAUCUCCUAGAAGAACUCUGGAAGAUCCAUUUUAUCAAUGUUCUGGAUUGUGUUUAAUAUAAAAGCUUCGGUUUUCAAGUUAGUCAAGAUUGCAGAGAAAAGGGAGAAAUGGAAGAUAGUGAGGUGAUGAAAUGAGUUACAAAGAGCUGCGAGUUAGUUGCCUGAAGUCACAUAACUAAGAAGUGAUGAGAGAAAUUUUAUUUUCCCAUAGAGCAGAUUGGGUAGUUAGAACAAUUUUUCGGAGAGCUCAGGAC
rnacentral:lncRNA from 1 species